rnacentral:rRNA from 1 species
UACGUAGGGUCCGAGCGUUGUCCGGAAUUAUUGGGCGUAAAGGGCUCGUAGGCGGUUCGUCACGUCGGGAGUGAAAACUCGGGGCUUAACCCCGAGCCUGCUUCCGAUACGGGCAGACUAGAGGUAGGCAGGGGAGAGCGGAACUCCUGGUGUAGCGGUGGAAUGCGCAGAUAUCAGGAAGAACACCGGUGGCGAAGGCGGCUCUCUGGGGCCUUACCUGACGCUGAGGAGCGAAAGCGUGGGGUAGCGAACAGG